UCUAAGAGCUCACAGCUCUGCUCUGUGUGUUUCUCUGACAGAGACAGGCACUAUUGUCUAAUGUCUUUAGACAGCUGAAGCGGACAGAAAUGUGUGUUCUUCAUCUUUCACAAGUUUUAAUUAGCAGGAAGGCGAGAGAAGAGGAGAUACCAGUUAAUGAGCAAAACCUGCAUUGACAAUCACAGUCUAUGGUUGGUAGCACUGCUCCUUUCAACAGAGCCCAGAUAAUCAUCAGAGAAAACCAUCAUAAUUACCAGGAGAAGAAGUGCAGAGGAGGUACCUGGUGAUCCACCUGAUGGGGGCGGACCUCAACAAUAUUGUCAAGUGUCAGAAACUGACGGACGACCACGUUCAGUUCCUCAUAUACCAGAUCCUCCGGGGUCUCAAGUAUAUCCAUUCAGCAGACAUCAUCCACAGAG